CCUGGAUUGGAGACACGGGCAUCUGAGAAAACUAGAGGGUUCUUCACCAAAACACCUAGCUUUUGAUAAACAAUUUCUCUGGAGCCAAGCCAUAAGGGAAUCUGAGAUUAAGCAGCAUUUGGCAACAAAUCAAGAGAUGGAAGACAAUUCUGAAUCCAUUGCUAAGGAACAAGAAAGGGUGGAAAAGGAGGAAGUCCAUGUCCAAGUGAAGAACAAGGUUAAAGAACCAAAUAAAGAGAAGGAAGAGAAGGAGGAGAUGGAGCUUGAA